AGUGAACGCUGGCGGUAGGCCUAACACAUGCAAGUCGAACGGCAGCACAGUAAGAGCUUGCUCUUACGGGUGGCGAGUGGCGGACGGGUAAGGCAUACAUCGGCAUCUACUUUUCCGUGGGGGAUAACGUAGGGCAACUUACGCUACUACCUCAUACGACCUACGGGUGAAAGCAGGGGAUCUUCGGACCUUGCGCGCUCUAAUGAGCCGAUGUCGGAUUAGCUAGUUGGCGGGGUAAAGGCCCACCAAGGGAACGAUCCGUAGCUGGUCUGGGGGGAUGGUCAGCCACACGGGAAUGGGGACACGGUCCAGACUCCUAGGGGGGGCAGAGGUGGGGAAUUUUGGACAAGGGGGGAAAGCCUGAUGCAGCAAGACCGCGGGGGGGAAGAAGGUCUUCGGGUUGUAAAGCCCUUUUGUUGGGAAAGAAGAGCAGCAGGUUAAUACGCCGAUGUUCUGACGGUACCCAAAGAGUAAGCACCGGCUAACUUCGUG
rnacentral:rRNA from 1 species